UACGUAGGUGGCAAGCGUUGUCCGGAUUUAUUGGGCGUAAAGCGAGUGCAGGCGGUUCAAUAAGUCUGAUGUGAAAUACCGGGGCUCAACCCCGGGGCUGCAUUGGAAACUGGCAGGCUGGAGUGCCGGAGAGGCAGGCGGAAUUCCUAGUGUAGCGGUGAAAUGCGUAGAUAUUAGGAGGAACACCAGUGGCGAAGGCGGCCUGCUGGACGGUGACUGACGCUGAGGCUCGAAAGCGUGGGGAGCAAACAGG
rnacentral:rRNA from 1 species